rnacentral:lncRNA from 1 species
CACCUGUUCUAAGCAGUAGCUUUGUCACUGCUUAUAAUUUUUUAACCUCUUUUCCUCCACAGAGAGGCUUCAGACCAACAUAGAAGACUAGAGAGAUGUUAAUAAUCAUCGAAACUAAAGAUGAGGCCUCCGACUUAUUGCUGUAGCUGAAAGAGCUGCUUUGGGAGAGAAUGAUGACUUUUGCCGGAGAUGAAAUGUAACGUUCCAGUCUCCAAUGAAAAGGAAAGAUGUGGUGUGGUACCCACCAGACACAGCAGCCUGAGAAUGCAUCUGAAGAUACUACUCCUUCCACUUGGGCCGUCUGGAUAGGCCUUCACAGCUUACCUAGAACUUUAUCUUCAGGGGCGUAUUUGCAUCAUCACUGA